rnacentral:sRNA from 1 species
CCUCCUGAGUAGCUGGGAUUACAGGCGCCCUCCACCACGCCCGGCGAAUUUUUGUAUCUUUAGUAGAGACAGGGUUUCACCACGUUGGCCAGGUUGGUCUUGAACUCCUGACCUCAUGAUCCGCCUGCCUCAGCCUCCCAAAGUGUUGAGAUUACAGGUGUGAGCCACCGCACCUGGCCUCUGAGAAAUAUUUAGAUUGUACGCCUCAAAUGGGCAGGGACUGUGUCUUACACUUUUGUAUUUAUGCUACAGCUUACCUAAUACAGUGCCAGGCCUCGUUAAACACUUAUUGAUGGCUCAGACAAUAAAGAACUUGCUUUGGAAGGAGGAGAGGAUAGUCAUGUGCUUCUGAAUGUACUGAACUUCUUGAAAUCUCUUUCCCCAUCAAUUUUAGCAGAGUUUCUAUUGAAACUCCUAGGGUGUGUUUAUGGAAGACAAACUGAGAUGUGCUGUCCCAGCCUUAGGCCCUGGCAGUACGCCUUUGCCUUUUCACGGCACACCCACUACAGCCUUUCCCACACUGUGACACUGGAGCUGGUGAGUCAGAUGCAUGGCAUGGGAAGCCCUCUCUAGGAGGAUGCUGUGGCCACACAAGCACUAGACGAACCGCUGGAGUAGGUGACUUCCAAGGUGUCCUGAUGUAGUAGCUAUUAGACAAACUCCUGCAUUUGGCCAGUAAUUAGCGUGCUGCUGCACAUUGCCACUAGGUGGUGCUGCUGCUCCAUCCCAACUAACCCACAUGCAUCCCUGGCUGGGGUCAGCCUUGGGGUUUCCCAAGUGUAGAGGAAUUCAUCUCUGUGCCUGUGGUAAUGGCUGGACACCAGGAGAGACCCAGAAAACAGGGAUAUUCCUAGAAGAGAAAGGCAAAAUAAGCACUCAGAGCAGAGGACAUUUGAGUGUCAAUAAUGAAGGUGGCAGCAGUAAUCAUGGCUAUCAUUUACUAAAAAUAGUGGAUAUUGGCCAGACAUGGUGGCUCACACCUGUAAUCCCAGCAUUUUGGGAGACCAAGGUGGGUGGAUCACUUGAGGUCAGCAGUUCGAGACCAGCCCGGCCAACAUGGUGAAACUAUCUACUAAAAAUACAAAAAUUAGCCAGGUGUGGUGGUGCACGCCUGUAGUCCCAGCUACUCGGGAGGCUGAGGAAGGAGAAUCACUUGAACCUGGGAGGUGGAGGCUGUAGUGAGCUGAGAUCGCGUCACUGCACUCCAGCCUGGACAACAGAGCAAGACUGUCUCAAAAAAAAAAAAGUAGAUACUGUGCUAGUCACUUGAUACACAUCAUCUCUGAUCUUUGCACUGAGCGAGGCAUGUGUAUUAUGUCUGCAUUACAAAAGGGGAAAAAUUAAGGUUCAAGAAGAUAAAGUCACCAGGCAUGGUGGCGCAUGCCUGUGAUCGCAGCACUUUAAGAGGCUGAGACAGGCGGAUUGGUUGAAUCCAGGAGUUCAAGACCAGCCUGGGCAACAUAGUGAGACCUCAUCUCUACAAAAAAAUUAAAUUAGCUGGGUGUGGUGGUGUGUGCCUGUAGUCACAGCUCCUCGGGAGGCUGAUGUGGAAGGAUCACUUGAGCCCGGGGGAUAGAGGCUGCAGUGAGAUGAGACUGAGCCAUUGCACUCAGCCUAGGCAACAGAGUGAGACCCUGUCUCAAAACAAAACAGAAAUAACAAAAAAUAAGGCAACUUGCUGGAGGCCACAUGGCUGUGAGCCAAAUACAGGUCUGGGUUAUCAGGGCUCACAUACUUCUAAGUACACCCUACUGCCUUGGAAUCUGCUGAAGACCAAGCCCCUGCUCCCAAGCCAUGGCAAAAGAGGGAAGGAAGCAAAGGUGCCCAGUGGGGACAACUCGGGGAGCGGCGAGGUGCCCAGGGCCCAGGAAGGCCAAGCAGCAUGUGGCAGGGCAGCAUCAGGUGACUCCCAAGAAGGAAUGAGGAGAGGAUGUGAGGAAAGAGCCACAGCACAGAGGCCUGCUGUUAGGUCAGCGGAAACCACGGCCCAUGGGACCUGGAUCUACCCUUGAUGCUAACAAUGUUCUUUGGGGAAAAAAUCUAUAAUCACAAAGUUUCUGCAACUGGACUGUAGUCAUGGUUGCAGAACUGUAUAGAUUUACUAGGAACCAUCAAAUUGUUCACUUACAAUGGGUAAAUUGUACAGUACAUAGGUUAUCCCUCAGUAAAGCUGUAUGAAAUUUAUAGUCAUGAAACCAAUAGUGACAAAGGAGCUGGGUAAGUAGGUCUCAGCUGUUCUGUAGGCACUUUGAGAAGAGGAAGAGUAGCAUCUCGGUUUUAAUAAAAGAAAGCCUGGCCCAUGGCGUCCAGCUUCUGCUUGAAUACUUUCAGUGCCCGGGAACUGAGUAUCUCAAAGCAGCCCACUCCGGUUUAAGAGAACUCUAAACCUUAGAAUGUUGAAAUACAUCAUUAUUAUUCUAGUACUGCUGUGAAAAAUAAAUGUCUUUGUUUUGCCA